CGGCAUAUAUUCAGCCGUAGGCGCCGGCUCCUCAACACUAGGUGGAGUUUGGAGGUUAAGGAGACACUAGUGAACAAACCUACACGACACAGUCAAUGUCACUGGGCAGAGGAGGAGAAGGACGGCUCCUCUUCUCAUUUCUCCUCCUCGUCGCCACGUCGCGUCGGUACCUCCACCUACGUCUCCGGAGGAUGUCGAUACCGAAGGAGGGGGUUCCGUCCGUGGUCGGGAUAAUACGAGGUGGAGGAGGAGGUGGUCUACCACUUGACACCCUCAUGAAGGGAACGGGAAAGACAAUGUAGCUCCAGCUUUACGGGAAGUAGAGGUCGGUAGACGUCCUCCUUGUGACGAAACUGUGGUCUUUACGACAAACGGGCUAUACGCGGCUCUUAGACCCCUUCCUGUACAGGCGCGUAAAGUCUAAGGUUGUGGGGGUAGAAGAGUUCUCCUCCUUCGGAAGCUCCGGGUCGUCGAGUGGUACCGGUCGUCGCCGUAGUGGUGGACGUAUACUACACUUGGGGAUGUACUACUCAUCGUCCGGUACGGUCCUGGGACUCGGACUGGGCGACGAGAGGGUCAAGUAGACGCCGUCGCCUCUGGUUUGGCUUUGGCUCGGCCCUGAUGCGGUGCCGGGCUCGUCGCGAGUAGGCCGCCUACGGGUCUCCGGACACUCGGUCGACCUCGACCUCCUCUCCGACGUCUCCUAACUCAAGGAAUCCCUCUAAUAGUGUAGCUGGUAAGAAAUCAAAUGAUAUUCGAGAUUAAUACAAGAUUCGGACACAAAAUACCAGGUCUACAUGAUAUAUCGGAACCGAUAGGUAGAUAGUUAUGUUGUAAACGUAUGAAACGUCAAUAAAGAAACAAUAUUAAAUGAGAAAAAGUAUUUUUUUCAAUUACACGAAGAAACCACAUACAUGACUCUCCUAAUUGUACUUGUAGUUAGUCACAAGGUA
rnacentral:rRNA from 1 species